AUUGAACGCUGGCGGCAGGCCUAACACAUGCAAGUCGAACGAGUGGCGGACGGGUGAGUAAUGUCUGGGAAACUGCCUGAUGGAGGGUGAUAACUACUGGAAACGGUAGCUAAUGCCGCAUACCAUCGGCUGUGCCCAGCUGGGAUUAGCUAGUAGGUGGGGUAAAGGCUCACCUAGACGACGAUCCGUACCUGGUCUGAGAGGAGGCUCAGUCACACUGGAACUGAAACACGGUCCGGCUUCCUACGGGAGGCAGCAGUGGGGAAUAUUGGACAAUGGGCGAAAGCCUGAUCCAGCCAUGCCGCGUGUGUGAAGAAGGUCUUCGGAUUGUAAAGCACUUUAAGUUGGGAGGCGUUACCAACAGAAUAAGCACCGGCUAACUUCGUGCCAGCAGCCGCGGUAAUUC
rnacentral:rRNA from 1 species